ensembl:lncRNA
CUGGAAAAUGAGUUACAAACUAUAAAAAUAUAAUUUGGCCUAGGUUCACUGUAGAAAUGUCUUUACAAACAAUGACAGAAGUCUAAAUGAACACUAGUUCCCGCUUCACCCUUCCUUUGCCUUGCAAAUAGUUUUUUCAGAGAGAAAUAAAUGGACAUACAACUUAAAAAAGGUGGCAUUUUUAUUGCAACAUAAAUGUUAUUUACAUUGUUUUUCUGUUGAAAAAGACAGAAAAUUCAAAUUCUUGUUGUUGCAGUUUUUUUGAUGUGCAUGGACAAUACCUUUUCAUCUGACACAAGAACAAAUCUUUAAUCAAUCAACAGCAAGAGACUGAAAAAUAACAUGACGGUCGCCCGUUACGGAAUCUGGAGCUUGUACGAAGCCUUUUGAAGGACCAGACUACGAGCAACGAUUCAGAUUGUUCUUGAGAUGCCAUUUGUAUAUUUAUAAUAAUGUAAUAAUAGACAGGCUAUUGAAAAUAACCCUACGUUUUACUAUCUAAUAUAGUAAAAUAAUAUAAGAAACGUUUUACCCAAAACUUUUGCUUUCAAAAAUCUAGAAAGAGUAAUAUUUAGAAUUUAAGAAAUAUUCUUACAGUAUUAUUGUAUAAAAGACUAACUACAGUGAAAAAUAAGCCAAAUGUUUUUUUUUUCCUUCAAUUUUCCUUUUUUCUCAUAUAUUAUACAAGAGAAAGCAACUUGGAAUAGAGCAAAGUCUAACUUGGCAAAGAAAGGACCAAAGAAAAAUCGCAAGAACCGUAAAUUAAGAACUAAAGCGGGAAAUUACAUACUAUUCCUUCAGAGUUCGCCAGCAUCAACAAAGCUCAAUACUGAAACAAAGAACUAAGCCACGUUCACUCAGAAAAAACAUGAAAAAGCUUUUUGUUUUUUUCCGCAAAAACAUUUUGAAAUCAUAAACUUUAAUAUAAACUCUUGAUGUGGCAUCUUUUAUUCUAAUUCAGUCCCUUUUUCGACAGAGUAUAAAUUCUGAAUGUGGCAGCCUUGUUUAAGGUGUAGAUAAAGAUGAAAGAAAAUAUUCAAAGAAAUACAUGGAAUAUAAAGCAAGUCUUAAGACCAAAGACAAACCUAAAGAAUGACAUUUAAAAAUUAAAGAUAUGAUUGAUGUCUUAAACAUAAAAGACAAUCCUAUUAAGUGUUUUUGUUCCUCAUUGUGCUUCUAUCAUAUUUAACAAAAUGCAUAUAAACUAUCUAGUCUGGCUUAAUGUAUGUUGGAUGAAACAUAAUCAAAACUGGACAGUAUACUGCUGGAAGCCGUAAGACAUUUGCAAGACAAGACAAAAUAUGUAUAACAAAAACUUCAUCGGGAAUAACUGCAUUAAAACUGUACGGUCUUGAAAUAUUAACAGAGAGAAAAAUAAGUGAGGUGUUCAUCGGGCCAGGAGAACGUGUAAUCAUCGGCGUUUUUAAAAUUUUAAACUAAUCAAAAAACCUCGGCCGGUAUUAGCCGGUAGUGAAACAAUGAAAAAAACAAGCCAAUUCCGUGCGACGUCAGGAGCAUCUAAAUGAGAUUUGUCCCUGCUUACAUUUAACACUACAUGGCAAAGGGGCCGGCAAAAAAGUCCCAUUUAUUUUUAAGUAAGAUACUAACAAUAUGCCGGGAAUGCUACGGUUUGCAAAUAGUUUACUUUAUUUUCACUGUUCACUACCCAGGAAAAAGGAACAUGACAACACCCGAGUUUACCAUCCGCCCGUCACCUGCAUGUUGUUUAUGCUCACGUAGUUGGGACAAUCAUUCCGCUGGCUGGCAGCACAGAAACCGAUCCAAACUACGCAGAAACAAUCAACGGUAGUUUCGAUGGCCGGUGGCAGGAUUAAUACAAAUAUAAAUAAUAUGCUUUUUUGUAUUGGGGGCUGUAUUUCUAACAGCUAAUGAUCAUUUUCAUUUGGGUAUAAAUUUCCCUCUGUCCAAUAAAUUAAUCUUCUCAGUGGCCAAAUAUUUCCCCCUCAUCUAGGACUUGCCAAAUAUUUUCCAGGGUGUAGUGCUCAGUAUUAAUGGGGAUCCUGGCAAACUAUAGAUCAACUGAAAAGCACUAUACUUCUCUUUGCUGAACUUUCCCUUUAGACGUACACUUUAUAGCUCAAUAACAUAAUAAAUAGAAGAAAAAGAAACAGACAGACAAAACGGUUGCUGUUACAAUGCAUUAGUCAAUUCGGUUUAGGCACAGGGCAAUUUCCUCCAAUGUUUGGAGGAGAUUGCAAAGUCUCUGAUUGUUCAGAAGCAACAACACUUCUUGCAGACAUUGAUAUGUGCUGAGGAUCUUUUCUUUGAGCUGGGGAGAAAUUUGCAGAUGGAAACGGGUCAGAGGGAGCCGGACGCUCGGCUCUUCUUCAAUCUUUUUGGGUUCGAUUGUGUCAGACUCGUAGAUUUGCUUCGAGUGGUCGGUCUCCUUCGAUUGGUGUCACAAACUGUGAGUCCUGUCUGUCACUGGAAAGCAAGGUCACCAACUCGACGAGACGGAAACGAUGUGAGUUACUUUGAUCUGGAGACAAAGCGGAAAAUAGGCUAAUCAGAGACAAAUAGAGUUCUAAAACAGAAAUGUCCUACAAAUCUUGGGGUCAAAAUGACCACCUAGGGUUUACUAAAGUGCAUUUGUUGUUUCGCAAUUUAUAGAAAAGGUGAGUAGAUCUGAAACACUACAUUUUAUUGAUGACCAUAAACUAACUUGUAACUAGUUGAUUAAUCACAAGAUGUAUUUAUGCACUAGUGCCAAAUAUUAGAAGAGCCUAGCUUCUUCAAAAACAUGGUGCUUUUAUUGGUACACGUUUCCUAUUUACCAUU